rnacentral:miRNA from 1 species
CUGGGAGGUCAAGGCUGCAGU